GGGGGGUAAUUUGUAUGAAAGGAUGCAAUGGAUUUUAUUUAAUGUAAAAGAAAGAAAGAAAACACUGCACUUAAAAUGAUGGACUCUUACGUUACUAAUCUCUGUAAUGUGAUGCACGGUACGUCAUACAAUCAUGUGAAAAGAAAUACAGUUCAAAGAGCUGUUUCAUCACCUCACUUCUAAAGAUUGAAUAUUUGAGCCUGAGCUCGUCUUCAUAAGUUGCUAAUUAAAGUGAAGGACCUCCAAUCUCAGUAGCAGCUUUUAUUAAAUCAAGACUCAUCAAAUGAGCUGUACACAUCUUUUGUGAAGCAUAUUAGUUCGAACACGAGCUCCCUCCUCAUAGCAAAUGAGAAUUCACGGCUUUUUUCAUUCUGUUGUUAUUACCGGUCCAUCUGAAGAGCCUCGAUGCUCCUCUGCGUGCUGUAUUCUGUGGCGCCUGUUUGAAAGUGCUUCAGAGAAAACCACUCCAGGCUAAUCAAAGGGAGGACGUUUGAUGGAUGGCGUUGUCCAACAGGGCGAACAUUUAUUUCAUCAGACCUCCCGGUCACAGCAUCACUUCCCUCAGAACUGCCUGAACGUGUGACAUCUGCCAACCGUCUUCAUUGGGCUUCACGGAGCACAACCUGGUGUUCAGUGCACUCAGCUUACACAAGCUGACCGAGGGCCCGUGGCCCGGGAGGACACGCGUGUGCAUGUCACAGGCCCUCUGAAAAAAGGGAUGCAAGAGUUUAGUCUUCCUCGCUGAUCCUAUUCAACCAGAGUUUGAUUUUCCCAAAUGUUGGACAUUCAAUUAAAAAAUAGUUAUUAAUAAUGAAUGCAUGGUGAAAGGGAAUGUGUGUAUACAUUUCUCUCCAAAUUAAGAUUUACAUCCUCAAUAUACUGUAUUUAAUUCUGCCAUUUUGUGGCAAACAUUAGCGCGCACACAUACUGUGAAAAAAUGUGUUGUUGUACUGCAUCCACUUCUGUUGGUUUGAUCUUUCUGGGGGUAUUUUGUGCAGAUAAUCUGAUGUUAAAACGUUUCAGGCGGUUCUCUUCUCUCUGGUUAGUCGAGAGGCACCGGAUUGGUGACCACGUGGUCAAAUAUACGUGUCAAAUAAUCAGCCUGACCUAUUGUACUGAAAGCAGCUGGACUGACAGGUGCUGUCUGAUCUCCGUCAUUCCCCCAAUAAGCCUCCUGUGACGAGCCCGUUUGCCUGUAACUGUGAGAUAAAAUGCAAAUACGACAGAAACAGAAACAUGGGAGGUGUGUUUUGUCUUACAAUCGCCCUCAUUGCAAUUCGGGUUUAUUGGGUUUAUUGUGCGUGUUGUAACAAUGAGGUCAUGAGAGGGUCAUACAUGGAGAAAAAAACCUUAAACUUCAUAACAUGAUAAAAGGAGUCCACAUAAAGUCAAAAGUUUCUGGGGGUUAUUUAUUCUACCAUUAAAGUUUUUUAUUGUUGCUUAUUUUGACUAUUUAAAGGAUUUUUCAGGGACUGUAACAUAAGAUGCAAACAGCUAUUCGUGAUAUUUGUGUCAGAAACCAGAAUUAAGCAAAUCUAAAUGAACGUUUCCCACACAUAAAGUGAUAAUAUAUUUCAAAGGUAUUCUGAGUCAGACGUUUAUCUGAAUAUGUGUCUUAAUCCCUGAUAAAUGGGACAUCGUGGGGUAAUCCUGAAACACAUGGUACAAUGAGCUAGAAAAUGUGUCUUUCUCUUUUUUUGUUCUCAUCCUUCUCCCUCCCUCUCUCUCUCUACUCAUACACAUACGAACACACACACACACACACACACACACACACACACACACACACACACACACGCCGUCCGCUGACCUAACCUGUGCAGCUGCAUCCACAAACAAAGCCCAUCUGGUGAGGUGUGGGGGCCAUUAGCAUACCAUCGUCUCCGGCACAGUCACAGGAAACUCACUGUCAUCAAUACGCCGUGUUCUCUCUCCGUCGUCAUCCAGCAGGCAGAAACAUUCGUUACCAUGGCGACGGCGCUCGUCGCGGCUACAGGUCUACGUGCGUAGAAGCUCAGGUUAUUUUAUCGGAUGGUCGUGGCCUUAUGUUGUGAUGAAGGUCUGGUAGGUAGCCGAGCGAUAAGGUCCAACUCUGAGAAAUCAUAGCUGACCUAUUAAUAGCAGA
ensembl:lncRNA